UCAGGACGAACGCUGGCGGCGUGCCUAAUACAUGCAAGUCGAACGCUUUUUCUUUCACCGGAGCUUGCUCCACCGAAAGAAAAGAGUGGCGGACGGGUGAGUAACACGUGGGUAACCUGCCCAUCAGAAGGGGAUAACACUUGGAAACAGGUGCUAAUACCGUAUAACAAUUGGAACCGCAUGGUUCUAAUUUGAAAGACGCUUUCGGGUGUCACUGAUGGAUGGACCCGCGGUGCAUUAGCUAGUUGGUGAGGUAACGGCUCACCAAGGCCACGAUGCAUAGCCGACCUGAGAGGGUGAUCGGCCACACUGGGACUGAGACACGGCCCAGACUCCUACGGGAGGCAGCAGUAGGGAAUCUUCGGCAAUGGACGAAAGUCUGACCGAGCAACGCCGCGUGAGUGAAGAAGGUUUUCGGAUCGUAAAACUCUGUUGUUAGAGAAGAACAAGGAUGAGAGUAACUGUUCAUCCCUUGACGGUAUCUAACCAGAAAGCCACGGCUAACUACGUGCCAGCAGCCGCGGUAAU
rnacentral:rRNA from 1 species